UCAGUAAAACUCGACGCAGUGCCAGACUCGACUACACACAAGCCUGCGCUAUCAGAGGAGGAAAUGGAGAAACUCUCUAAAUCCAUUAUUGAGGAGUUUCUACACAUAAAUGAUUACAAAGAGGUCUUGCAUUGCGUGGAGGAACUGGACCAGGGCGGGAUGCAGUACGUUUUUGUUCGGGUGGGUGUGGAGACCACGCUGGAGUGAACCCAGAUCACACGUGACCACGUGGGUCAUCUGUUCCAUCAGCUGCUGCAGGCUGGGAUCCUCUCCACAUCUCAGUUUUUUAAAGGGUUCUCAGAAACCCUCGAGAUAGCAGAUGAUAUGGCGAUUGACAUUCCUUAUGUAUGGCAGUACAUAGCAGAGCUCGUUAACCCUGUGCUUCAGGAAGGAGGAAUCUCUUUUAGAUUCCUCCUUUUAGAUUUUA